rnacentral:misc_RNA from 1 species
CAGACGUUGAAAAUCCCAGUACUAUAAGUUCUCGGAGUGACUUUGUGGAAACAAGGGAUGAAAGUAUUAGCAGUGAUAAUAAGUUUUUGGAGAACCAGAGGCCGUUUGAUCCUCUAGAACAACCAGAUUGGCCUGAAAGAGACGAGAUAAUUCCUGCGAAUAUCGAAUGGAAGGCGAACAGUGUGGAUCUCCCCUUUUCUCUUAGGAUUAUAAAGAGAAAAAAACAAUGGCAAGAUGGGAUCAGAGAAG